UCCCCGUUGUUCUACUGCCAUUACGUUG
rnacentral:sRNA from 1 species